CUUGACACUGCAUGAAAAGAGCUGUAUACGGACAAAUACGGAAUGGGAAAUCCCUGCUAAACUUUAGGUUUGCCAGAUUUUUGAGGCAGAGUGCUUGGAAAGAAUGCACCUGCACCCACUCAUCUGACUGCCCCCACCCUUCAGGUGCGACUGCUCAACCUAUGGGCUUGACGGAAAAUUCAAAUCGCGAACCGUUACUGCCUGGACUACUCCGUCUCUUGUUUGUUUGUUUGCUCAUUAACAGUAAGAGGUCAUGUACACUGUGGUCAACUUUGUGGACGAUGAAGAGGUUUCUGGGUAAAGCUGAUAGAAAUAUAAUGAAGUAACAGUGAAAGCUAAAACAUCAGACUGAUCCAGACACUGAAGAAAUUGAUGUCACUGCAAUCUGGCCAAAAUGAUACAACUAUAUUGAAGUAGCCUACUGUAAUGAAGCUGCAGAACAACACAGAGACUCUGAGGACAUCAACACAGAAAAUGAAGGCUCCAAAGAGAUGUCUGUCCAGAUGAGGGUGCAUCAACGUUACCUUUGCUGACAAGUAUAUGCUUUACAAUGUAAAACCUAACAGUUAACUUAACUCAAACCAUUUAAGGAAAUCGGUUGCCUUAAC